AUUGAACGCUGGCGGCAGGCCUAACACAUGCAAGUCGAACGAGUGGCGGACGGGUGAGUAAUGUCUGGGAAACUGCCUGAUGGAGGGGGAUAACUACUGGAAACGGUAGCUAAUACCGCACACCAUCAGAUGUGCCCAGAUGGGAUUUGCUUGUUGGUGGGGUAACGGCUCACCAAGGCGACGAUCCCUAUCUGGUCUGAGAGGAGGACCAGCCACACUGGAACUGAGACACGGUCCAGACUCCUACGGGAGGCAGCAGUGGGGAAUAUUGGACAAUGGGCGCAAGCCUGAUGCAGCCAUGCCGCGUGUAUGAAGAAGGCCUUCGGGUUGUAAAGUACUUUCAGCGGGGAAGCGGUACCCGCAGAAGAAGCACCGGCUAACUCCGUGCCAGCGGCCGCGGUAAUAC
rnacentral:rRNA from 1 species